GNGCGCAAAUUACCCACUCCCAGCANGGGGAGGUAGUGCACGAAAAAUAACGAUGCAGGAUCUCAUCCNGAGNGACCCUGUGAUUGUGAAUGAGUGACACUUUA
rnacentral:rRNA from 1 species